rnacentral:lncRNA from 1 species
UAGUAGACUUUUUUUAAACUUUUUAUUUGUUGUAAUCGUUACUCCUAACAUUUUCAAACGAUACAUGUCAUCCAAAAUUUCAUCAAUUGAUCAGAAAUUUAAUUUUGACCAUAGUUUUAGUAUUUUAAUAGGGGGUAAAAGAGUAAAUUUCUAUUUAACAUAUUAAAUGAUUAUAUUCAUUAAAUUAAAAAAUAAGAAAAAACAAAAGAAUCAUUUUCUUCCUCUCACCCCAUCCCCACCUCAAACCCACAGCCACCCAACCUCCAUCGCCACCACAUCCACCCUUCACCACCAUCCAUCCCAUCACAAUUGCCACCAGGCAACCUCCACCGCAUUCUACCAUGAGAAGAUCCAAACUCUAGGCAAACCGAAGCCGUUCUCAAAGAAGCAUCCAUUGGGUCUCAAAGAACAGAUAAAUCCUGUUGACCAAAGCGAGUCACAGAUUGAGUUGACUGGUGAGAAUUGCCCUGCUCCACCAAGUUCGGCCUUCAGUAGAGUUACCCGAAUGCUGUGUGGAAAAAAAGGCGCGCGAAGGUUGUAGAUGGCAUUUACAAGCUUCGAUAAGUAGAUCUGUUGCUCCGCCUCCUCUUUCAUCUCAUCUCCUUAGAAUGAAUUUGAGUCUGAGUUUCUACCUCGAGUUUUCUUCUCUUUUUUGGCGAUAGAUUUGAGUUUGCUUCAAGAUUCGCAAUUGAUGAUUAUGCCAUUAUCAAUCAGAACGAAAGAAUUCCGCUCUUUUGGGUUCGAAAUCCACCCAUUAGGUCUCAAAGAACAGAUAAUUGAACCCGCUUUAGGACUCAAAGAAGUAUGAGCCAAAUUGAGCCCGACCCGACCAUUCUUGAAACAGCACUAUUUCGACGGGCUGCGAGAAAUGGGAUUGAAUCUGUACAGAGGUGGCCUUUUGAGAUUUGGUAGAGAGAGAAAUUUAGAAGGGGGGAAUGCAAUUAUUGUGCUCUGCAUUUUCGCGUGGCUGAGGAUUUGAGGUGGGCGUAGGGAGUGAGAGAAUGAAGAGGAUUGUUUUGUUUUUUCUUAUUUUUAAUUUUUUAAAUUAAUAAAUAUAAUUAUUUAAUGUGAUAAAUAGGAAGUUACUUUUUUGCCACUUCUUAAAAUAUUAAAAAUGUGAUCAAAGUUAAAUUUCUGAUCAACUGAUGGAAU